CAAUAGCGUAUAUUAAAGUUGUUGCGGUUAAAAAGCUCGUAGUUGGAUUUCUGCCGAGGACGACCGGUCCGCCCUCUGGGUGAGUAUCUGGCUCGGCCUGGGCAUCUUCUUGGAGAACGUAGCUGCACUUGACUGUGUGGUGCGGUAUCCAGGACUUUUACUUUGAGGAAAUUAGAGUGUUUCAAGCAGGCUUACGCCUUGAAUACAUUAGCAUGGAAUAAUAAGAUAGGACCUCGGUUCUAUUUUGUUGGUUUCUAGAGCUGAGGUAAUGAUUAAUAGGGAUAGUUGGGGGCAUUCGUAUUUAACUGUCAGAGGUGAAAUUCAUGGAUUUGUUAAAGACGGACUACUGCGAAAGCAUUUGCCAAGGAUGUUUUCAUUGA
rnacentral:rRNA from 1 species